UAGGGAAUCUUCCACAAUGGACGAAAGUCUGAUGGAGCAACGCCGCGUGUGUGAUGAAGGGUUUCGGCUCGUAAAACACUGUUGUAAGAGAAGAAUGACAUUGAGAGUAACUGUUCAGUGUGUGACGGUAUCUUACCAGAAAGGAACGGCUAAAUACGUGCCAGCAGCCGCGGUAAUACGUAUGUUCCAAGCGUUAUCCGGAUUUAUUGGGCGUAAAGCGAGCGCAGACGGUUAUUUAAGUCCGAAGUGAAAGCCCACAGCUUAACUGUGGAAGUGCUUUGGAAACUGGAUAACUUGAGUGCAGUAGAGGAGAGUGGAACUCCAUGUGUAGCGGUGAAAUGCGUAGAUAUAUGGAAGAACACCAGUGGCGAAGGCGGCUCUCUGGACUGUAACUGACGUUGAGGCUCGAAAGUGUGGGUAGCAAACAGG
rnacentral:rRNA from 1 species